rnacentral:rRNA from 1 species
UACAGAGGGGGCGAGCGUUGUUCGGAAUUACUGGGCGUAAAGGGCGCGUAGGCGGCCUGCUAAGUCGGACGUGAAAUCCCUCGGCUCAACCGGGGAACUGCGUCCGAUACUGGUUGGCUUGAAUUCGGGAGAGGGAUGCGGAAUUCCAGGUGUAGCGGUGAAAUGCGUAGAUAUCGUGAGGAAGACCAGUGGCGAAGGCGGGUCUCUGGACAGUUCCUGACGCUGAGGCGCGAAGGCCAGGGGAGCAAACGGG